GACGAACGCUGGCGGCGUGCCUAAUACAUGCAAGUAGAACGCACAGUUUAUACCGUAGCUUGCUACACCAUAGACUGUGAGUUGCGAACGGGUGAGUAACGCGUAGGUAACCUGCCUGGUAGCGGGGGAUAACUAUUGGAAACGAUAGCUAAUACCGCAUAAUAUUAAUUAUUGCAUGAUAAUUAAUUGAAAGGUGCAAUUGCACCACUACCAGAUGGACCUUCGUUGUAUUAGCUAGUAGGUGAGGUAACGGCUCACCUAGGCGACGAUACAUAGCCGACCUGAGAGGGUGAUCGGCCACACUGGGACUGAGACACGGCCCAGACUCCUACGGGAGGCAGCAGUAGGGAAUCUUCGGCAAUGGACGAAAGUCUGACCGAGCAACGCCGCGUGAGUGAAGAAGGUUUUCGGAUCGUAAAGCUCUGUUGUAAGAGAAGAACGGGUGUGAGAGUGGAAAGUUCACACUGUGACGGUAUCUUACCAGAAAGGGACGGCUAACUACGUG
rnacentral:rRNA from 1 species